rnacentral:rRNA from 1 species
GACGAACGCUGGCGGCGUGCUUAACACAUGCAAGUCGAACGGAAAGGCCCUGCUUUUGUGGGGUGCUCGAGUGGCGAACGGGUGAGUAACACGUGAGUAACCUGCCCUUGACUUUGGGAUAACUUCAGGAAACUGGGGCUAAUACCGGAUAGGAGCUCCUGCUGCAUGGUGGGGGUUGGAAAGUGUCGGUGGUUGGGGAUGGACUCGCGGCUUAUCAGCUUGUUGGUGGGGUAGUGGCUUAACAAGGCUUUGACGGGUAGCCGGCCUGAGAGGGUGACCGGCCCCAUUGGGACUGAGAUACGGCCCAGACUCCUCCGGGAGGCAGCAGUGGGGAAUAUUGCACAAUGGGCGGAAGCCUGAUGCAGCAACGCCGCGUGCGGGAUGACGGCCUUCGGGUUGUAAACCGCUUUCGCCUGUGACGAAGCGUGAGUGACGGUAAUGGGUAAAGAAGCACCGGCUAACUACGUG